UCGAGCGGAAACGAGUUAACUGAACCUUCGGGGAACGUUAACGGCGUCGAGCGGCGGACGGGUGAGUAAUGCCUGGGAAAUUGCCCUGAUGUGGGGGAUAACCAUUGGAAACGAUGGCUAAUACCGCAUAAUAGCUUCGGCUCAAAGAGGGGGACCUUCGGGCCUCUCGCGUCAGGAUAUGCCCAGGUGGGAUUAGCUAGUUGGUGAGGUAAUGGCUCACCAAGGCGACGAUCCCUAGCUGGUCUGAGAGGAUGAUCAGCCACACUGGAACUGAGACACGGUCCAGACUCCUACGGGAGGCAGCAGUGGGGAAUAUUGCACAAUGGGCGCAAGCCUGAUGCAGCCAUGCCGCGUGUGUGAAGAAGGCCUUCGGGUUGUAAAGCACUUUCAGUCGUGAGGAAGGUAGUGUAGUUAAUAGCUGCAUUAUUUGACGUUAGCGACAGAAGAAGCACCGGCUAACUCCGUGCCAGCAGCCGCGGUAAUACGGAGGGUGCGAGCGUUAAUCGGAAUUACUGGGCGUAAAGCGCAUGCAGGUGGUUAGUUAAGUCAGAUGUGAAAGCCCGGGGCUCAACCUCGGAACUGCAUUUG
rnacentral:rRNA from 1 species